UACGAAGGGGGUUAGCGUUGCUCGGAAUCACUGGGCGUAAAGGGUGCGUAGGCGGGUUUUUAAGUCAGGGGUGAAAUCCUGGAGCUCAACUCCAGAACUGCCUUUGAUACUGAAAAUCUUGAGUUCGGGAGAGGUGAGUGGAACUGCGAGUGUAGAGGUGAAAUUCGUAGAUAUUCGCAAGAACACCAGUGGCGAAGGCGGCUCUCUGGGACGGUACUGACGCUGAGACGCGAAAGCGUGGGGAGCGAACAGG
rnacentral:rRNA from 1 species